AUAACACUUCGAAAGGAGUGCUAAUACCCGGUAUGGGCGCAGCGGUCUUCGGAUCGCGGCGAGAAAGACCCCGCAAGGGUUGCCAGAGGACGAGCCUGCGGCCCAUCAGCUAGUUGGCGAGGGUAACGGCUCACCAAGGCGAACGACGGGUAGCUGGUCUGAGAGGAUGAUCAGCCACACUGGAACUGAGACACGGUCCAGACUCCUACGGGAGGCAGCAGUGGGGAAUAUUGCGCAAUGGGCGAAAGCCUGACGCAGCCACGCCGCGUGAGCGAUGAAGGCCUUCGGGUCGCAAAGCUCUGUGGGGAGAGAAGAAUAAAGCCCUGUGAAGAGCAGGCCUUGACGGUAUCUCCUUAGCAAGCACCGGCUAACUCCGUG
rnacentral:rRNA from 1 species